AUUGAACGCUGGCGGCAUGCCUUACACAUGCAAGUCGAACGGCAGCACGGGAGCAAUCCUGGUGGCGAGUGGCGAACGGGUGAGUAAAGUAUCGGAACGUGCCCAGUCGUGGGGGAUAACGUAGCGAAAGUUACGCUAAUACCGCAUACGAUCUACGGAUGAAAGCGGGGGAUCGCAAGACCUCGCGCGAUUGGAGCGGCCGAUAUCAGAUUAGGUAGUUGGUGGGGUAAAGGCUCACCAAGCCGACGAUCUGUAGCUGGUCUGAGAGGACGACCAGCCACACUGGGACUGAGACACGGCCCAGACUCCUACGGGAGGCAGCAGUGGGGAAUUUUGGACAAUGGGCGCAAGCCUGAUCCAGCCAUGCCGCGUGCAGGAUGAAGGCCUUCGGGUUGUAAACUGCUUUUGUACGGAACGAAAAGGUUUGACUUAAUACGUUGGACUCAUGACGGUACCGUAAGAAUAAGCACCGGCUAACUACGUGCCAGCAGCCGCGGUAA
rnacentral:rRNA from 1 species